CAGUGGCUCUCAGGCAGCUUCUCACAUGGGCACCAGAGUAUCUGCUUGCUCCAGACAUUCCCACAGGGCAUCCUGUUCCAGGCAGUCAUGCCAUGGGCUUCAGGUCAGAGUGGGAAAUUUGGUGAAUUCUCGAUGAUACACAUGGGAAACUUCAAGCUACUAAAAGUGCGUGGUGUGGGACUGGGCAGGCGCUGGCUGCGAGGAGGAUCAAUUAAAAUGGGAACUACAAAACUUCUGCGCAGCAUGAUCCUGUUUCUAAUAUAUAUGAAGAAAAUACACCCGAAGGUUAACAGUGAUUCUCUCUGGGCAGAACAAUGACAGAUGAUUUUUAUGAACCUCUUCAUACUCUCCCAGAUUUUCCACUUUUUAAAAAAUAAACCUGAGUGACUUUUAUAAU